rnacentral:rRNA from 1 species
CCUACGGGGGGCAGCAGUCGAGAAUCAUUCACAAUGGGGGAAACCCUGAUGGUGCGACGCCGCGUGGGGGAAUGAAGGUCUUCGGAUUGUAAACCCCUGUCAUGUGGGAGCAAAUUAAAAAGAUAGUACCACAAGAGGAAGAGACGGCUAACUCUGUGCCAGCAGCCGCGGUAAUAACGAGGUCUCAAGCGUUGUUCGGAAUCACUGGGCGUAAAGCGUGCGUAGGCUGUUUCGUAAGUCGUGUGUGAAAGGCGCGGGCUCAACCCGCGGACGGCACAUGAUACUGCGAGACUAGAGUAAGGGAGGGGGAACCGGAAUUCUCGGUGUAGCAGUGAAAUGCGUAGAUAUCGAGAGGAACACUCGUGGCGAAGGCGGGUUCCUGGACAUUAACUGACGCUGAGGCACGAAGGCCAGGGGAGCGAAAGGGAUUAGAUACCCCUGUAGUC